rfam:Clostridium hathewayi WAL-18680 genomic scaffold supercont1.3, whole genome shotgun sequence.
UAAGGCAAGGAUUAAAACACAGUCCCGGUUGGUAGUCCGGGCGCAGCUUCAAAAUCUGUCAGUAACCUGCCUCCUCGGUUGUCCGGUCUUUGCUGUCGAAAG